AGAUCACUUUCUGAUCUGCUGGGUUGCUUUUACCCUCCUGGUGGGAGAGGUGCAAAUUAAAGCUAACAACAACCAGCUGCGCCCGCGCACUCAGUCUCAGCAACCACGAGUGAAGACCAACUUUAUUCUGGUGACAUUUACUUUCUUUUCACUGCUUAUUCUGAAAUGUGAAACCCUGGCUGUUUCAAAACUAUUUCGGGACACUGUGAAAAUCAAAAACGCCACCUUGAUUUGCUGUGAGGAGUUCAUGUCUCUCUAUAUAUCAAAGAUCAAAUUCACAGAUCUUUUUGAUGGCCAUGUACGUUUAUGUUGCGUCCUGGGGAUGUUUUGUGAGAAGACGAGUAAGAUAAACCCAUUGUAUAUUCUUCUAUAAUAGCAAAAGGACUUCUAUUUUCCAAACUUUUCUUUAACUGAACAUAAAUAUACCACAAAUCUAACAAUUAUCAUUGAGGCAUGUGCCGGGCAGUGGCUGAGUUGAGUCAGAAAAGUGCUGAGUCUUUGCCUCUAAUCUGUGAAAGGAAUGAAAGAAGCAUCAUCAAAGCAGUUUCUCUGCAGCAAAGAUGGCUUCAACAUUACCAUACACAAGCAUGCAACAAUGCCCCCCCUGAAUCUGGAUACAGUCUGGAUCCCUUCUGGCCAAAAUCCCAACUGUAAACCCAAGAAAAGAUCAGCUGAUGGCAUCACUUUCAACUUUCUGUUCAGUGACUGUGGCACUCGGUCUAUGUAGCUGAGCGUGGCCAGCCCGUGUAUGUGGAACUGUUUGCAGUCAAACAUGAGAACAGGGACUUGGUUCUGCUGCUGGAGGACAGCUGGGCUACACUGACUGAGGACUCAGAUGGCCCACAAAGAUGGAAACUGCUGCUGGUGACAGCCACAAAACAGUUAUGCUGCAAGUUUCCAGUAGCCUACAGAACUAGGAUGAUCCUCCAUUUACAACUGGUGUAUUUCCACUGCAAUGUAGAGAUCUGUAAGGGGCCAGAGUGCCUGCAGCCUUGCAGUAGUUGGAAAUCGACUUUUAGACCGUUCAUCUUUUGUCUUAUAAAUCUAAAAAUAACACUGAUCUCACACGUUAACAUGUAACACUGUAAACAAAAGAUUGUUUUUCUUUGUUUUGGGGGAGUGCAUAAAUCAGGAAGACCUCCUGGAUCACUAUAUGACAAUCAAAUCAACCAAGGACUGUACAGUUUGUAAUGAAUAUUAAAUUGUACCUCCCAAAAGACGUUUUCCUUAUAAUAUUUAAUCACAUAUUUAAUUCUUCUCCAAUCACUGUACAGC